ensembl:misc_RNA Metazoa_SRP Metazoan signal recognition particle RNA
GCCGGGCGUGGUGGCGGGCGCCUGUAGUCCCAACUUCUCAGGAGGCUGAGGCAGGAGAAUGGCUUGAACCCAGGAGGCGGAGGUUGCAGUGAGCAAAGAUUGUGCCACUGCACUCCAGCCUGGGCGACAGAGUGAGAUUCUGUCUCAA